UUUGACAACUCUAGAGAUAGAGUCUUCCCCUUCGGGGGACAAAGUGACAGGUGGUGCAUGGUUGUCGUCAGCUCGUGUCGUGAGAUGUUGGGUUAAGUCCCGCAACGAGCGCAACCCUUAAGCUUAGUUGCCAGCAUUAAGUUGGGCACUCUAAGUUGACUGCCGGUGACAAACCGGAGGAAGGUGGGGAUGACGUCAGAUCAUCAUGCCCCUUAUGAUUUGGGCUACACACGUGCUACAAUGGACAAUACAAAGGGCAGCUAAACCGCGAGGUCAUGCAAAUCCCAUAAAGUUGUUCUCAGUUCGGAUUGUAGUCUGCAACUCGACUACAUGAAGCUGGAAUCGCUAGUAAUCGUAGAUCAGCAUGCUACGGUGAAUACGUUCCCGGGUCUUGUACACACCGCCCGUCACACCACGAGAGUCUGUAACACCCGAAGCCGGUGGAGUAACCAUUUAUGGAGCUAGCCGUCGAAGGUGGGACAAAUGAUUGGGGUGAAGUCGUAGCAAGGUAGCCGUAUCGGAAGGUGCGGCUGGAUCACCUC
rnacentral:rRNA from 1 species